UACAGAGGUCUCAAGCGUUGUUCGGAUUCAUUGGGCGUAAAGGGUGCGUAGGCGGCGCGGUAAGUCGGGUGUGAAAUCUCGGAGCUUAACUCCGAAACUGCAUUCGAUACUGCCGUGCUUGAGGACUGGAGAGGAGACUGGAAUUCAUGGUGUAGCAGUGAAAUGCGCAGAUAUCGGGAAGAACACCCGUGGCGAAGGCGGUUCUCUGGGACGGUACUGACGCUGAGACGCGAAAGCGUGGGGAGCGAACAGG
rnacentral:rRNA from 1 species